rnacentral:rRNA from 1 species
UACAGAGGUCUCAAGCGUUGUUCGGAUUCAUUGGGCGUAAAGGGUGCGUAGGCGGCGCGGUAAGUCGGGUGUGAAAUCUCGGAGCUUAACUCCGAAACUGCAUUCGAUACUGCCGUGCUUGAGGACUGGAGAGGAGACUGGAAUUUACGGUGUAGCGGUGAAAUGCGCAGAUAUCAGGAGGAACACCGGUGGCGAAGGCGGUUCUCUGGGAAUGUCCUGACGCUGAGGAGCGAAAGUGUGGGGAGCGAACAGG